ACUAUCUUGCUGUAAAAUUGGAAGGCCGAUUAGCUACGUGGAAAAGUGAACUCCUUUCAUCUGGUGGAAGACUGAAUUUGGCGAAUUUGGUGAUGCAAAGUCAAGCGGACUUUCAUGUAAGGUCAAUUGGAGAACGGUGUGCUUACACGAGAAGGAGAGAGGCCUAGGUGUGAAAGACAUUGCUCAAUUCAACGAGCUGUUGUUUGCAAAAUGGGAUGGAGAUACCUUGCUAAAGACUCGGGCAUGCAGAGAAAGCAAAUAAAGUUCGCUUAUCAUAGGAGAAUUAAAUUGUGUCUUGGAAACGUCCUCGGUGGUGUUCCAAUCUUUGGCAAGAUGUAGUCAAAUUGCUUCCAGCCUUCUGGAAUCGAGUCCAUUUUUGUAUCAGAAAUGGGAAAAAUACUCCUUUUUGGAGGGACAGCUGGAUAUGCGGUGUGGCACUCCAAUAUGUUUUUCCUCAUCUUUACUCGUUAAGCCCCAAGAAGAAUGGUUUCAACACCUCUCCUCGCUGCUCGCUUCAGUCAAUCUCAAUUCUGAAGAAGACUGGGUCGUUUGGAAAGGCAGCAACAAUGGUAAAUUUUCUCGGCUUCUCUUUAUCUUUUCAAUAACACGAUGAAUUAAAUGCAGAUUUGCUAGCACCCUCUGGAGUCUUUGUGUGCCCCUCAAAAUAAAAUGCUUUACGUGGCUGUGUUGGAAGCACAAGCUGAAGACUAGAGAUUUAAUUGGUAGAAAGCUUCAGAAAAACUUACGAGGCAGUAUUUUUUGCCGGCAUGCAACUGAAACUCUGGAUCAUCUUUUUACUGGUUCCCUGUUUUCGGGUGCUAUUUGGAAAUUGUUGUGCCUGCUUAUGGGAGUUUUGCCAUCUUUCAAAUCUUUUGAAGAACUAUGUCUGGGUUGGACCAGAAGGAAUUUUCCAAGGACUACUGAUUGUGUGAUGUUAAUGCUUGUAGCUGCCAUGAAUUGGGCCAUCUGGAGAGAGAGGAAUUCAAGAAUUUUUCUGAACAAGCAGAAAUCCAUGACUACAAUAGCCUCAGAGGGUCUUAAUUUGUUUAAUAAUUGGUCGAUGUUUUGUAGUACAAAAAAAAAAUUGAACAUGGCAAAGUGUGGCACAAAAUCAAAAGAUUGGCUACUGUACAUUCUAAUAUUUGAAAUUCAGAAGACUAGAGUUGGAUUCAGCUAAAGAUCAUCUUCCGGAAUGCUGAAUUUCAAAGGAGUUGUUUUUUAUACAAGUUUUCUUCUCCAUGGUCCCCUAUCUUCUUCAGCCAAGUUGCUACUAUCUUGUUGUGAGCAAACUUCAUCUACCCCUGUAAUCAAAAGCUCUUUGCAACUGCCGCUAU